rnacentral:lncRNA from 1 species
AAUUUACCAGCCAGCGCUGGUGCAUUCGACCUCUGCGCAACGAGAUACAAUUGGUGAGCGCCGCUCUUGUUGGGCUCUGGCCAGCUCUUCGGGCAGCCGGGGGUGUCUGUCGGGAGCCCCCCGGCCGGUUCCCGGGAGGGAUGCACGGGAGGAGUCCCGGGGUCCCGGGGGACUCCUCGGCCGCUCUCCGUGGUGCUGCAGCCGCCGCCCGCGGUGCCUCCUGCGGGAGGGCAGGAUCCCCUUCCCCGGGAGCACGGCCGGCCGUGCCGCUAACUCCUCCCUUCGGAUGCAAGGGCUGCACCGCCACAAGCCAUCCUCUCGCCGCCCCCCUCCUUCUCCUUUCUCCCGUUUCGACAGAGCGAGCGGGCUUGCUCUGCCUGCGCGGCGGCGGCUGCCCACCGCGGACCCCGUGGGCUUGGGGCGGGUGCUUUAAUUUUGGCAGGACCUGCCCGCCGCCCUUCCCGGAUAAACUUGGGCCGGCGCCCCCCGGCACCGCGUUUUGGGGCUGGUGGGCUCCCGGCUGCCUGCGGGGAUGCCCAGCAUCCAAUAAUGCAAUGGCUGGAAGACCACAACGUGUCAGAUUAACUGGGUGGACACAUUGGAUAUUAGCAACAAUUCUGCUGCUGUGGAGUUACCAGAUCAGUGGACAAGCUGUUUAGGAAGAAGACACAUGUCAGAUGCUACAGAAUAGAAAUCGCUCAACUUUGAAGUUUUAUCUAAAAUGGAGAAUUAGUGUUCUGGAAGCUGCGUGUGAAGGUACAGCUUGUGUGUAUACUACGUACAAGUCAUGGUGACUAGCAGCAGAACUGCCACAGCUGGGUAUGCAUUCAUCUUUCCCAAUUUGAAAAAAAAACGGAUUGUCUUGCAAGAGUGUCUGUAUCUCCACUAAGGGAUGGCAGCAUGCAGUGUUUUGCAUGCUUCCACGUCAUCUAGUCCUGCCAGCUUCUUCCUAACACAACUCCAAAUGAAACUACUUAGAGUAGUUUGUCUAGAAGAAUCACUAUGUUGAGAAUACGAUAGCUACGAAUAGGGAAAAAUUCCUGUUAAGGAAGUGCUUGCAUUGGCAACCCAGUCGGUGACGGGAGAGGAGAAAGAAAAUAGGUUACACUGUUUAAUAAUGUAAUUACAAAAGGUGAUUUGAAUUUGAUUAUCUGUGAGGAAUGCUGAUAAGGGUAAAUCUCUGUGCACUUGGAGAUCUGAAUGCUGAGGACAGAUCAAGUCUCUGCAGGCUUGCAUGGAAAAGCACAGCUAUUUUAUGACCUCCUUCUCUCUCCCAUUAGGCUCAAGCCUUCCUUCUCUCUCCCAUUAGGCUCAAGCCUUGUAAAAGCAGGACAGAUUUUGGACUGUAAAUGCAAGAAUGACCAAGUGCUUUCAGGUAUAGCUGAAACAAGUUAAUUUAGUUUUAUUCAUUCUUUGUAAGAAGAGAUUAAAAAAAAAAAAAUCCAUUUAAUGAAAGCAAGUACAGUGAUGUAAAUACAUUUUUCUCAGAUAAACAACAUGCCAGGAUCCUG